UACAGAGGUGGCAAGCGUUGUUCGGAAUUACUGGGCGGAAAGGGCGCGUAGGCGGCCAUCUAAGUCAGACGUGAAAUCCCCCGGCUUAACCUGGGAACUGCGUCUGAUACUGGACGGCUUGAGUAUGGGAGAGGGAUGUAGAAUUCCAGGUGUAGCGGUGAAAUGCGUAGAUAUCUGGAGGAAUACCGGUGGCGAAGGCGGCAUCCUGGACCAUUACUGACGCUGAGGCGCGAAAGCUAGGGGAGCAAACGGG
rnacentral:rRNA from 1 species